ACAAUACAGUUUGGGCUGAGUUUUUAAAUUUAAACCGAACCGGAUCGAAUUGGGCCCGGGCAUCUGUUUGAUAAACAAUGAGUGGAGACUUUUUGCUUCUCUGAUUAUCUCAGAAUAACUGCUUCGUUUUGGGUAAUUCUGGAUUGGUUUAGAUGCAUACAGGUUGACCGUGCAAUUGCAAGCCUUCGAAUUUGUCAAUUCCCAGGCUAAUAAAAGUUCUUCAAGAAUGUCCACAGAGAGGCAUAUAUUUGCUAGCACAGCGUUGCAAGUAGAAACAAGGUACCCAGUAUGUCCUGUUUCCCUCCGAUCCAUCUAUGUCUCUUCAAGCAAACCCGGUUUUGGUACGAUGAUCCAGCAGACUUUACAACGGAUGGUGAACCAACUUUCGUGGCUGAAAAAGGACGUCUGCUCGGCUAUUGCUCCAGCCCAACAAGCAUUGUUCGCGAGUAUCUUUUGGGUACAGGUGUGCCACAAGAAGAAUACGAAGCUAUUUCUGGCAAAAUAUUUGAGCGGCUUUUGUUUGAUGUAGCCAAUCGUUUGCCUACUACUGUGAAUAUACUGGACAUCACUGUGGUCUUAUUGGGUACUGCAUAAUAUCAUGACAUUAUUGAUCGGGUUGCAGCAGAAACAAUCCUAUUUGAGGACGAGUACCGUAAUAGGGUCAAUUUUAUUCCUGCAAGUAGAUCAUCGAUCAAGAGUUUGAAGAAAACAACACUUGAUAGUUUGGAAGAGUCUGUUAUCAGACUCAUCCCAUCAUGCAUGUGCUAUUUGUCUCGAUGACUUUGCAGAAUGUACUGAUCAAAUGGUUACAACCCUACCCUGCAAACACCUGUAUCAUGAAGAUUGCAUUGUCCAGUCCCCGGAUCAGUCACCUUUGUCCCUUGUGCCGAUACCCAAUGCCAAUUGUGGAAGCGGAUUAGCAAUAAAUGGAGUUGAUCCCGCUCAACUGGAUCAAUAACUAAGGAUGACUCGGCUAUGGAAAGGAGUAGUUCUCCCUUCUGACUGUAUUUUAGUUAUUUAUCAUUUAACCAGAAGAAAGAAAAAAAAAAUGAAAGGGAGAGUUGAUCCUCCCGACUGUAUUUUAGUUGUUUUUCUUUUGACCAGAAAUAAAUGAAAGGGAGAGUUAAUCCUCCCGACUGUAUUUUAUAGCAAUUGCUUUGUUUACCAGAUAGAAUCCAUCAGGCUGGAUUUUAUUUUAACUUUGGCCCAAGGAUUUUGAUUAUUUGUUUGAAGGGGUUGAGCCUUCUGAUUUGCUGAAGGAGAGUUUGUGUUUAUUGUGGUA